rnacentral:rRNA from 1 species
UACGUAGGGGGCUAGCGUUGUCCGGAAUCAUUGGGCGUAAAGAGCGCGUAGGCGGCCAGAUAAGUCCGGUGUGAAAGUCAAAGGCUCAACCUUUGAAUGCCGCUGGAAACUGUCUGGCUAGAGUCCGGGAGGGGCGAGUGGAAUUCCUGGUGUAGCGGUGAAAUGCGCAGAUAUCAGGAGGAACACCAAUGGCGAAGGCAGCUCGCUGGAACGGUACUGACGCUGAGACGCGAAAGCGUGGGUAGCAAACAGG